UUUUGGUAAGCUUAAAAGUCUCCACUCCAUGUGACAGCAAAAUAGUUCUUAGUUUCAAAUCCGGCAAGCAAGAAGAGUGAUUGUUUCCCUCACAAACACCUCUGAAGAAAACUCUAAGGGACAUCAUCAAAUAACCAGGAAAGAUUAAUCACCUGAGAAGAGAAGAGAAGAGACUGGGGAUCUUCACCCUGCCAAGACAGUCUUUUCAUCUAUUCUUCUGAGAGCAACUCCAAGAGAUUACCUGUGGGACUCAAUUUGCAUAACAAGAUGACCUUUGUUCCUGUGCAGUUCCACCCCUCACCUUCCCAUAAUGUCUGCCUCCCACCUCCCAGGUCCAUUAUUUUUCCCUAAUGACUUACUGCUCCUUAAAAGAAAUGUCUACACUUCCCAUCUCCUUCCUCCCCUAUGGAAAAGGGUAUAUCACUUCUAUCAUUCUCUGGUGAUCCCCCAUGCUAUGCACAUUACAAUAAAAUUUUGUACGCCUUUUCUCCUAUUAA